CAACAAAGGGCAGCUGUUGCAGUUUGCCCUGCACGGCCAAAGGUGGCUCUCGGUUUUCAGAGCCAAGAAGAACCAUACACAAUGUGGGAACAGAGCUCGACUGAUCCCCGACAGGAAGUGUUUCUGCUGGCACAGUCACAUGGCAAUCUCACAAGUCCUUUCCUAGAUUCCACUCAGCAGUCACAGCCUGGAGCCAGUGAGGCUGCCAUUGUGUCCUGGAUGGCAGCCAAUUUGGGCUCAGUGCCAGACAGGAAAUGUGGUGGUGGCCGCAAGACUGCUGCAGCUAACAGUGGUUUGAACUUUGAUGGGCAAUCUGUCCUUUAAAGCAGGGUAUUGAACAUUUGUUCACUGGUCCUGUUUGUGUUAGACCUGUCGUUUACACUUGGAGUUACUCAGUUACCUUUUUCAGAUUGAUCCUAUUUGGACUGAUUCAUUUCAG